UCGUAACCAAGUUUCCGUAGGUGAACCUGCGG
rnacentral:rRNA from 1 species